UACAUAGGCAGCGAGCGUUGCUCGGAGUUACUGGGCGUAAAGAGUGCGUAGGCGGUUUUCUAAGUUUGGUGUGAAAUCUCCCGGCUUAACUGGGAGGGUGCGCCGAAGACUGGAAGGCUUGAGUAUGGGAGAGGUAAGCGGAAUUCCUGGUGUAGCGGUGAAAUGCGUAGAUAUCAGGAGGAACACCUGCGGUGUAGACGGCUUACUGGACCAUAACUGACGCUGAGGCACGAAAGCGUGGGUAGCAAACAGG
rnacentral:rRNA from 1 species